rnacentral:tRNA from 1 species
GUGGAUGUAGCUCAACAGCAGAGCGCUGGGUUGUGGACCCAGAGGUCGCGGGGACAGCACCCGUCUUCCACC